AGCGUCGGUAGACAUUGAAAGAGUAGUAGGGCACGGGCUUCUUCACGCUUCCCCCUCCGCUGCUUUCUCCCCGUCUCCUUGACGGUUCGCCUUCUGCUCUCCACCGAUCGCGAAGGCUUCGCCUUCGAUCUAAAGGCUUCCGAUCGCCACCAGUAGCCAUGCCUCGGUACUACUGCGAUUACUGCGACACUUACCUGACUCAUGAUUCUCCAUCUGUCAGAAAGCAACAUAAUGCUGGCUACAAACACAAGGCAAAUGUCCGUGCUUAUUACCAGCAAUUUGAGGAGCAACAAACUCAAAGUCUAAUUGAUCAGAGAAUCAAGGAACAUCUAGGCCAGGCUGCAGCAUUCCAACAUCAAGUUGGUGCAACUUAUAACCAACAUCUCAUGUCCAUGCCAGGAAAUCGGCCCCCUCUUCCAGUUUUAGGACCACCUAUCUUGCCUAUGGGAGCACCAUCUCAGGGAAUGCUACCGGGAGUUAGGCCCCCUCUCUUGCCUCCUCCAGUUGGAGCUCCAGGUUAUGGUCCUCUUCAUACUAUGCCUACUGCUCCACCAUCAGCGGUACCACCUGGUGCUGCUGCAUCAGCACCGAUGCAAGUUAGUAAUCUUCCUAGGCCUCCUCAAUUGGCACCUCCAAUUUCCGGGGCCAUGUCAAUGCCAACCACCAAUGGUGCUGCACCUGCCAUCAAUCCUGUGAUGUAUCAAGCCAAUCCAUCGUCGACCACAACUGGAAGCUUUGAUUCAUUCAAUGCGGCUUCUGGAUCUGGUUGACAGAGGGCAUCACAUGUAUCCACCGCUCCUGUUUCAGCAAAAUGCCUUACUAUGAUGCCUUUUGAUCUGCCCCGACUAAGACUAAUCUGCUAAAUUUGGACUGAAUGGAUUGCUAUUCUAGAGCUCCGUGGGUCAUCGUGAGAUGGUUAAAGGUAGAGAGAGUCCACUUGUCUGUAUUAUUUCUGGAGUUGUGUAAUCAAAUAUCUAUACACACUCAGGAUCAGUAAUAGUUUGCAUCGGCAUUUCUGACA